rnacentral:tRNA from 1 species
GUCUGGGUAGCUCAGUUGAUUAGAGCAUUGUCCUUAUAUGCCAAGGUUGCAGGUUCAAGCCCUGGUCAGGACA